ensembl:miRNA
CAUAAAGUAGAAAGCACUACUAAACUUUACUACACAGUGUAGUGUUUCCUACUUUAUGGAUG